rnacentral:sRNA from 2 species
CUAUCCUAUUACUGGCGGCUUUGCAGUGGAGAUUGCUAGCUCUGCGGAGACCUUCAAAAAAUCCGCUGCUAGCCAACGCACAUCCCAGAGUCAAUGCCAAAACCAACAUUAUGGCCAUACGGCUUUUUCGCCAUGCAACCUUCAAUAUGUCGAUGCACACUGUCAGCUAGCACUCUCAUUGCGUCAUGGAAGAUCCUGCUCUUGUGACGCUACUCAAGCGCCGGCUGACGGCAGCUUAUACUGGGCAGUGUUUGUGGUAUUUGAUGACGGAGUGGAAUGGGUAUUUCGAUCCCCUCAGCGUGAUGAGAUCACUCGGACUCAAUUGAAAGUGUAUCAUAAUUAGACACUUAAGUCUCUAAAUACAACAAUGCAUUUAAGUAUAAGAACCAAGAACU